CACCCCUCAAGUCAAACUUUUUGGUUAACUUGGUGUUGGGCCUUGCCGGAAGGCAUGCCUAAAAAUUAGCGAUGGUACGUUAAACCACGGACGCACAAAUGUCGUUACGUAGGGGCACGGCACCAGUCUAAUGAUUAAUUUCUCAA
rnacentral:misc_RNA from 1 species